ACUCGGCCCUUUCGAAGCUCAGAGCAGUUGUCCGUACUUCUCUGAGUCAAAUAGGAGCCAAGAAAAACAUUUUCUAUAUGGUCGCUUGGCAGACUUGAUUCUAUGUCUCUACAGCAUUACCCAAGAAAAUAACAAAA